GGCCUAACACAUGCAAGUCGAGCGGUAACAGGGGAAGCUUGCUUCUCGCUGACGAGCGGCGGACGGGUGAGUAAUGUAUGGGGAUCUGCCCGAUAGAGGGGGAUAACUACUGGAAACGGUAGCUAAUACCGCAUAAUCUCUCAGGAGCAAAGCAGGGGAACUUCGGUCCUUGCGCUAUCGGAUGAACCCAUAUGGGAUUAGCUAGUUGGUGAGGUAAUGGCUCACCAAGGCGACGAUCCCUAGCUGGUCUGAGAGGAUGAUCAGCCACACUGGGACUGAGACACGGCCCAGACUCCUACGGGAGGCAGCAGUGGGGAAUAUUGCACAAUGGGCGCAAGCCUGAUGCAGCCAUGCCGCGUGUAUGAAGAAGGCCCUAGGGUUGUAAAGUUC
rnacentral:rRNA from 1 species